ncrna:unclassified sequences L13-Bacteroidia ribosomal protein leader
GGGGGAAGGCUUAGAGCCCCCAGCCCGGGAGUGUUAAUAGUGCUGCAUUGGCCAUGCACCACGGUUAGUGAAUC